AUACCCCACUAUGCCUAUGCCACAAACUUUGAUAUUAUUAUCCGCCAGAAUACUACGAGCAACAGCUUGAAACUCAAAGGACUUGGCGGUGCCCCAUCCACUCAGAGGAGCCUGUCCUAUAAUCGAUAAUCCACGCUCAACCUUACCAUCUUUUGAUCAUCAGCCUAUAUACCACCGUCGCCAGCUAGCCCUGCUAAAGAACUUAAGCUAGCAAAACUGCCAACCACAAACACGUCAGGUCAAGGUGUAGCAUAUAAGAUGGCAGAAAUGGGCUACAUUUUCUACCACAGAAAACCACGAAUGACAUAAUGAAAAAUACCCUGAAGGAGGAUUUGAAAGUAAGACGAACCCACCACAUUCUUCUUAACUCGGUUCCGGGGCGCGCACACACC
rnacentral:rRNA from 1 species